rnacentral:hammerhead_ribozyme from 1 species
ACCUAGCUGACGAGUCCCAAAUAGGACGAAACGCGCUUAUUAGAU